rnacentral:rRNA from 1 species
CGUGGGGACGCAGGAGUGACACCGCCGCCGGCUGACGGAAUAGCCGGUUAAAGAGUGUAGACGUUGAUUUCCGCAGGCAAAUCCACGGAAAGAGUCGAACUUGACAGUACACCAAUUCCUUCGGGAAACGGUGACAGCGCGGGUAAGCAGACUGCCGAGAAAAUCCGCUAAACAUAACUUCAGAGGUACCCGUACCGCAAACGGACACACGUAGUCGGGUUGAAUAUACUAAGGCGCUUGAGUGAAU